rnacentral:lncRNA from 1 species
UGCAGUCAGAGAACGAAAAUGCCUCUGUGGCUACACCCUGUUCACUUAACAAAAUGAUUGGACCACCUGCUAUCUGAGUGGCAUUUUAUGGAGAGAAAAAUAAAUUAUUACUCAGACACAGUCUUUUUGUCCAAGGAACACGUGUUCUCCUGAAGAGGCAGAUAUUUAUCCACCGUCUCCAGGACAAGUAGCCACAUGAGAAGAGCUUGCUGGAGACAGAAACAGAUUCUCUGGGAUGUCAGAGGGCUGCACCCACUCAGCUCAGGGCUGUGUCCCACAAAGAAAGCAAAGGAAGUCUGGCAUCCUUGGGGACUUUCUGAUUCAUCCAUUCAUUGUUUCACGUAGGCCCAAUUGUGCCAGUCCCAGGACGUGAAGUGACAGAUGCAGGGGGAGUGCUGAGCAGUGGGGACGAUGACACAGAGCCCGACGGUGGCUGCCAGUGUAAACGGAGCUCUGCCCGGGCUGGCCGGCGAGGCUUCCAGAGGAGGCUGGACGUGGUGUCCUGGGAAGAGUGCAAGUCAUCACUUGGACAUCACCAGUCUGCACCCUCUUCCCACUGGGUCCACCCAGGUGCCCCCCCGCCCCCACCGCCCCUCCAUGGCUCCUAGCCCACCUCCUCUUCCCAUCUCUGCUCCUGUUGUCUCAGUGGAUGGAGGCCAUCUGUUUUUCUCACUGGAUGGUGGAAUACAUCCUUUACCAGAUAUUGGUGAAGGUACCAACUCAUUGGAAAAGGCCCUCAGGCUGGGAGAGAUUGAAGGCAGGAGAAGGAGAUGACAGAGAAUGAGAUGGUUGGAUGGCAUCACCAACUUGAUGGACACGAAUUUGAGCAAACUCCGAGAGAUAGUGAAGGACAGAAGCUUGGCGUACUGCAGUCCAUGGGGUCGCAAAGAAUUGGACAUGACUGAGCGACUGAACAGCAACAACAAGCAGAAUAGGUGUCCUUAAUAUAGGCCACCUUUGCAUGUCAAGUAUUUUGAGCUGAGACAAUUGGGGAGAAGCAGACAUGGGAAAAGCCCCCUGUCUACCCCCAUUUACCUGGGGAGACUUCCUUCUCUGGGCUUCUGUGAAAAUGCAAUCAGAUGAUUUAUUAUGUUCCUGGCACACAAUGUUCCUGGCACACAAUGGGAAUGCAGUUAUUAUGGGUGGGACCUGCACUUCCUUUCACUCUGCAAAUGAUUGAGCCUUGGAAAUGUCAUGGAGGGAACCGAAGGACUCCCACAGCCACCUUGCCAGGAGCCAGCGUGAGGAACUCUGCCUGUGGCAAAGGUCAUGAGGAAGGAGGCUCGGCAUACACAAAGGCGGGAUCGAGCCUCAGGAGUCCCCCUGGAAAUUCUCGAGCAUCUACCCCCAAAACCAGAGUCUGCCUACUUUACUGCUUUGUGGUCUCACCUACACCUCUGACUUUACGGGGUCUGUCCCCCACCACCUCUGUCUGAAAAAGAGUUAAAUUAAAGCUCCACUUAAUAAAGUUCCUGGGCGUGACA